GGACGAUGAUGACGGUACCCGCAGAAGAAGCCCCGGCUAACUUCGUGCCAGCAGCCGCGGUAAUACGUAGGUGGCAAGCGUUGUCCGGAAUUAUUGGGCGUAAAGCGCGCGCAGGCGGUCUUUUAAGUCUGAUGUGAAAGCCCACGGCUUAACCGUGGAGGGUCAUUGGAAACUGGAGGACUUGAGUACAGAAGAGGAGAGUGGAAUUCCACAAGUAGCGGCGAAAUGCAUAGAUAUGUCACAGAACACCGAUUGCGAAGGCAGCUUACCAAGGUAUGAUUGACGCUGAGGCACGAAAGCGUGGGGAUCAAACAGGAUUAGAUACCCUGGUAGUCCACGCCGUAAACGAUGAGUGCUAGGUGUUGGGGGUAUCACGCCCUCUGUGCCGAAGGUAACCCAAUAAGCACUCCGCCUGGGGAGUACGGCCGCAAGGCUGAAACUCAAAGGAAUUGACGGGGGCCCGCACAAGCGGAGGAGCAUGUGGUUUAAUUCGAUGAUACGCGAGGAACCUUACCCGGGCUUGAAAGUUAGUGAAGGUACCAGAGACGGUACCGUCCUUCGGGACACGAAACUAGGUGCUGCAUGGCUGUCGUCAGCUCGUGCCGUGAGGUGUUGGGUUA
rnacentral:rRNA from 1 species